rnacentral:rRNA from 1 species
AGCGAACGCUGGCGGCAGGCCUAACACAUGCAAGCCGAACGAAGUCUUCGGACUUAGCGGCGGACGGGUGAGUAACACGUGGGAACGUGCCUUUAGGUUCGGAAUAACUCAGGGAAACUUGUGCUAAUACCGAAUGUGCCCUUCGGGGGAAAGAUUUAUCGCCUUUAGAGCGGCCCGCGUCUGAUUAGCUAGUUGGUGAGGUAAAGGCUCACCAAGGCGACGAUCAGUAGCUGGUCUGAGAGGAUGAUCAGCCACAUUGGGACUGAGACACGGCCCAAACUCCUACGGGAGGCAGCAGUGGGGAAUCUUGCGCAAUGGGCGAAAGCCUGACGCAGCCAUGCCGCGUGAAUGAUGAAGGUCUUAGGAUUGUAAAAUUCUUUCACCGGGGACGAUAAUGACGGUACCCGGAGAAGAAGCCCCGGCUAACUUCGUGCCAGCAGCCGCAGUAAAAC